CAUCCCCGGCCGCCGGCCGCGACUGUAGAGCCGGUCCGCGCCGUCCCCGGCCUCUGUUCGCGCCGUCCCGGCCGCCGUCCAUGCCGUCCUGACUGCUGAUCCGCGCCCGGCCGCCGCUCCCGACGUCGCCGACGUUGUGCAGCUUGCCGAUCAGUACAAAGCAUCACACCGCCGCCCAACGACAACUCAUCCCUCUACGAUUCUGGGAUGUCUCGGGUAGCAAUUUAUUAUGGAAAUGUGCUUCUCUCUUCGCUUGAAGAAGUCAUCAGGUUUCAAUUACUGAGAUUGGGAUCUGUGAGGAAUGCCUGAACUUGGUCCCAGACGAACUGCAUAAACAUAUAGUCCAUGCUGGAAGGAAUCAUUUUGAGUAGUAAGAUAACUUCUAUGUUGUUAUUUUUCUAAUGCUCUAUGAACAAGUAAUCAUUGAACAAAGAUAUAUCUAUUUGUGCUUGGAUAAGCUCUGUGAAGGACUGAUGGAUGCUUGUUUCAGAUCUUUGCUUGUGUUUGCAAUAGCUUCUUUGCCUA